rnacentral:lncRNA from 1 species
UGCUGGGAAGGAGAUGGGUGCCUGUUCACAGGGCCCAGCUGGGUUGAUGUUGAGCUGGAAGCAGCCACAACGCACACCCCACAGUUUAAUCACCACCAAAAGUUGUGCCCUCAGGUGUGUACACAGGCUGAGCUGCAAGCCGGUAAUUACCAGCGGCAAUGCCAGGGGCUGUGGCCAUGCAGAGGGUGGUGAUCAGCAGCAUCAUGGCCUCAGACAGCAAACCUCUGCCAAGCUACCUUCGCAUUGAGAUGAAAUGGCUACUAAUAAAAUGAUGCCGGUGUUUAUUGCAGUGCUGUCACAUGACAUAUAUUUAUUUGACACUGUUAUAUUUAUGCCAUGGCGCUUGGCAGAUAUGAUUAUGAGCACGUUGUGGGGGGGGCUGCUUUUUUAUUGUUAUCUCUCAAGGCUGUUCAGGCCAAUUAAACAAACUACAGAAGGUUUGUGGUCUCUGAUAGCAAAAGCAAAUGUCCAGGCAAAUCACCUUACAACUCCACCCAGCAGAGACACAGAGCUACUGACUACCCUAAGAUUUUUUUUUUCUAUCUUUUUUUUUUUUUUUUUUUUUUCUCCUCUUCUGGAUGGGGAGGAUUUUUGAAAGGGAGCUGCACUGGUCCUCUGAUGUGGGACACUGAGCAGACGUGGCUCACAAGGUCUGGGUAAGCAGAAGGAAGAUGUGGGACUUAACACACUGCAUGGUGCACCCUGAACUGUGGCAUUCCACUGCUCUGAGUGGCUUCAAGGACCUUCACAGAUAAGGUAUCUAAAGACUCAUUUGAAAUGACUCAUGCUUGCCUAUUUAUAAAACAAAAGGGAGUCUCCAAUUAAAAACAAAACCAAACCAAAACAAGAAGCCCUUGGCAGCCCACGAGCUCAUUCCAGCUGCAGCGAGGCAGAGGGAAACAUGCAUGGGGUGCAGGGGACCACGACAGAGAGUUUGGGGCAGCUGUGGCCACCACACCCUUACCUUGCCACCGUGGUGCUUGUGGGACUUGGAGUGCUUCUUCUUGUGCUUCUUAUGGUGCUUCUGGUGGCAGCCAGGGUGGGCUGGUGGGCACCCCGGCACCCCUGGUGGGUGAUGCUCGUGGUGGUGGUGGCCCGGUGGGUGGUGGCCC